rnacentral:rRNA from 1 species
GACGAACGCUGGCGGCGUGCCUAAUACAUGCAAGUAGAACGCACAGUUUAUACCGUAGCUUGCUACACCAUAGACUGUGAGUUGCGAACGGGUGAGUAACGCGUAGGUAACCUGCCUGGUAGCGGGGGAUAACUAUUGGAAACGAUAGCUAAAACCGCAUAAUAUUAAUUAUUGCAUGAUAAUUAAUUGAAAGGUGCAAUUGCACCACUACCAGAUGGACCUGCGUUGUAUUAGCUAGUAGGUGAGGUAACGGCUCACCUAGGCGACGAUACAUAACCGAGCUGAGGGGGGGGGGGGGCAAAAGGGGGCUAAGACAAGGCCCAGACUCCGACGGGAGGGAGCAGUGGGGAAAGGUCGGAGAUGGGUGAAAGUCUGACCGAAGAAAGCCGGGUGAGUGAAGGAGGUUUUCGGGUCGUAAAGCUCUGUUGUAAGAGAAGAAAGGGUGUGGGAGUGGAAAGUUCACACUGUGACGGUGUCUUACCAGAAAGGGACGGCUAACUACGUG